AGUGAACGCUGGCGGUAGGCCUAACACAUGCAAGUCGAACGGCAGCACAGUAAGAGCUUGCUCUUACGGGUGGCGAGUGGCGGACGGGUGAGGAAUACAUCGGAAUCUACUUUUUCGUGGGGGAUAACGUAGGGAAACUUACGCUAAUACCACAUACGACCUACGGGUGAAAGCAAGGGAUCUUCGGACCUUGCGCGAUUGAAUGAGCCGAUGUCGGAUUAGCUAGUUGGCGGGGUAAAGGCCCACCAAGGCGACGAUCCGUAGCUGGUCUGAGAGGAUGAUCAGCCACACUGGAACUGAGACACGGUCCAGACUCCUACGGGAGGCAGCAGUAGGGAAUAUUGGACAAUGGGCGCAAGCCUGAUCCAGCCAUACCGCGUGGGUGAAGAAGGCCUUCGGGUUGUAAAGCCCUUUUGUUGGGAAAGAAAAGCAGCAGGUUAAUACACCGCUGUCCUGACGGUACCCAAAGAAUAAGCACCGGCUAACUUCGUG
rnacentral:rRNA from 1 species